UACAGAGGGUGCGAGCGUUGUCCAGAAUCACUGGGCGUAAAGGGCGCGUAGGUGGCGGGCCAAGUCCAUGGUGAAAGCUCGAUGCUCAACAUCGAGUCGGCCACGGAUACUGGGUUGCUGGAGCACUGUAGAGGCAGAUGGAAUUCCGGGUGUAGCGGUGGAAUGCGUAGAGAUCCGGAAGAACACCGGUGGCGAAGGCGGUCUGCUGGGCAGUUGCUGACAGUGAGGCGCGACGGCGUGGGGAGCAAACAGG
rnacentral:rRNA from 1 species